GGGUUCGAAGGGGGGAUAAGUCGGGGUUGGUUCGAAGAGGGGGGUGGGGUGGGCUCGAGGGGUUGAGGGGUGGGGGGUUUGAAGUUAGGGUUUGGUUUGUUUUUAGGUGGCGGCGGUUAGGGUUUCGGGGUUAAGUGGUUGGGGUUGGUGCUGGGCUCACUACUAGAAAAAGGCUAUUCUCUGGACGCAUUCUCCUCGACGCCUCCCUGCGAGCGUUGAGCCAACUCUUACUUCGCGUGUUUUAUCGACGCGGAAUCGUGUUAAGAUAGAAAACGAAGCACGUGGCAAAUACUAUCCCACACCUAGCCGCGAAUCCGAAAUUUUUGAGCGAGAAAAAACUGAAACCACUACUACUGCAGCUCUGCCUCACCACUCUCAUACCUUCAAAACUGAAACCCUCAAAAUUCUCAGCCAUCCCUUUGCUCAAAUUAUAUUCGCUUCUCAUUGAGAGCGAGAAGAGAGAGAUAGAGGGAUAUUGCUCGUCAGAAAUGGUUUCAGGGCUCUUCCUAUUCAAUCUGAUGAGCAUCUUAAGAUCUACCUAAUGAAGCUUUGUGCAUACAAAUGAUGUUCUUGCAAAGUCUAAAUUCUGGUGAACUC